GAAGAGGAAGAAGGGCCUGGCUGCAGGGGCUAUAGGCAAGCAGCCAUGAUCUCCUAAUCCCUGGCAAUGGCUGUACCUGUAAGAGUCUAGGAAGAAGCAUGCUGGCACUCAGUCGGAGCUGAUAGCUUGUCCAAUGAAAGGAACAAAACCCUGGCUCCUUGGCUAUUUAGGGACUGAUCCUCUGUGGAGCUAAACAUCAUGAAUUUGCACUCUCUGUAUGGGAGUUGAGGGUUCAGUAUCUGAUGCACAUACAUGCGGCACACUGGCGCAUAGAGGCGGUUCAUUUUUUACCGUGACCUGGCUGGAGGGCCGAGCCACUGAAGACCCAUCAACCAAGGUCAGCAACCUACAGGGGGUGCCAAGACGGGGAAAAGGACUGCAGUACAACAUGCAGCAGGUGCUCAAGAGGGACCAUAUUCUACUCCAUGGGGAAGGAUUACUGCAACUCCUCUAGGAACUAAAAACAGUGGGAGUUGAUUACUGCAGUGCCUGGGAUUGUGAACAGCUCCAGAGAAGUACCACCUCCUGAGUGGUUUGCGUAUACUGGUUCAUACAGGUCCAGAGGCCAAGGAGACCAGAGCUUUUGGGAUAAAAGGGCCAGCAUGAACUGAGAGGGGGCUCCCAACCUUGCUGAAGGGUUGGAAAGACUAUAACCUGCUAGGGUCACCACACGACCAGCAAAAUGUGGAUAAUACUUGUAUCGAACAGUGGAAUUCUGAAUAUUAAUUCCUUAAUGCUUGUAAAGUACUCUGAUACUUCGGUGUUGAAUGCUGUAGAAAAGUGCAUGUGGACAUUCUGCAUGCUCUCAGCUCUACCUUUAAUUCCCUAUGUUACUGUGGGCAAAUCAUUUAAGCACUGAAUUUCAGUUUUCUCAUUGCUAAAAUGGGAGCCUCUCCAGGCAACGAAGCAAAAAACAGGUUUAUGCUGUUAAAGAUGCAAAUUAGAUGUGGAAAUGGAUCCACUUGUGGUUUUUGGAUGCAAAACUGCAGAGCCCAGUUCAGGUCUGGGACCUUGAAUUCAGCCAUUCUCCCUUCAAGUAAUUAAUGAGGUGCUAGAUUGGAGGGUCUCAGGAUCUGUCGCUAAUAACUUUUAUACUGUUACACAGCUCACCUAAUAAAGAGACUAACAAUACAAUCAAAAGGCCACAAAUCUAAAACUGAUAAAAUGAAAUGCUGUUUUAUACAACACAGUUAGCCGGUGGAACUCACUGCUACAAGAUGUCAUUGAAGCAAAGAGCUUAGGGGCAUUCAGAAAAACCAAUCUGUUUUAAAACACCCAUAGUUGUAUUAGAAUGAGAAAUAGGCAUAUUAACCCUCAUGGUUUACAAUAUAAACCAACCACUUAAUGCUUGGGGUUAGAAGAAAAUUUCUCCAAUGGACAGAUUACUAUCCAUCUUGGGAUCUCUAUGAGCUUCUACUGAUGUAUUUGUUAUGGGCCACCAUUGUAGACAGGACAGUUGACUACAUGGCCCACCAUUGGAAUGGUCCAGUACGUUAAUUCCUUGGUUUUUCAGAGUGACCUUAGCUAAACUGACUUUUGUGUGUAGACAUUCCUAGGAUCAGAAUUUGACCCUUUUUGGGUGUUAGUAGAAAAAGCUACAGUUGCCUUCCAGGAACAGGUUGUGGUGAAGGCUAUCCUCCUUCCUAAUUAUGAUCCUCUGAAAGCAACAUCGUAAGUGAGCAAAUUCAUGUGUUCUAAGACGAUAUUAAUUUGCAUCUUUCAUCCUGCACAUGCGAGACUAGACAAGAUAUUGGUGCCAGUGCAAAGGGGGUCAUUGCUUCUAGGAUUCAGCUUAUCUGUGAAAUGGACUAGUGACAGAUGUAAUGGGACUUGUUUAUGGAUGUCACAUGGAUGCAUGUACUGUGACUCAAGUGGAUUGUUGUUUAGGUAUGUAUAACUGAAUGAAUCUAGGGGCACUGUGUUCAUUAUAUUUAUGUCUUCUGUGGUGAUUAAUAUAACUCCUGUUCAUUUUACUGUUACUGAAACUUGUGUACCCAUAUACUACAUCUCCAAUAACAUGUGCAUCAGUGAGAACAGCAUUCCAGGGCAGACAGGUGUACAUGAGUACACCAGAACUACUAAUGUGCAUGCAGAUAGUUAUAAAGCAGCAGUGUCUAUACACAUUUACAUCCACGUCAGUGGAAUGUUCCCCCCCGCCCAUCAUA